AGAACAUAGAUCUCUGGCCAACCGCUCAAGAAGGCUUUACAAUGAAGAUUUAAUAUUUGUCAUCCAUGCGCGGUUCUAAAAUUGCACCCUUCCUAUCCACAGUUUUGUAACUCUUAUCUUCAGAUACUUUGGGAAACAGCAAGUGCCAGACCAUUACGGAACUCCAUACAGUCAAGCACUGAGCAAGUCCCCAGUGCUUCUACCCUGGACCCAGACUGCCUAAGUUUCGUGUGAAUGUCGGCCUGACACUGCGUAACACGCUGGGAUUUUCAGAGACACAGCUGCAUCCAUCAAUAAUGCCCCUCUCCUAGGCUGAAACCAGUUCUGUUGGCCAGUAAGAUUCAGACUGAAACAGAUAUAAGCAAAAUUCAAGUUUUCCUGCUAACUCGUACCAGUUACAUUAUUAAUACACAUUUUUUAAAUUUACAU
rnacentral:lncRNA from 1 species